GGGGGGGGGCGGGGCCUGGCGUGCACCGCAUCCGGGCAGCGCUGCGAGACGUGACCCCCGAGCCCGGCCAUGUCCAAGUCGCUGAAGAAGCUGGUGGAGGAGAGCCGGGACAAGAGCCAGCCCGAGCUCGACCUGUGCGACCGUGGCGUCUCCAACAUGCUGGACGUCCCCGGCCUGUUUACUGUGUCCCAUAUCACACAGCUGGUUCUCAGUCACAACAAGCUCACAACUGUACCACCAAAUAUUGCAGACCUGAAGAAUUUAGAAGUGCUAAACUUUUUCAACAACCAGAUUGAGGACCUUCCUACUCAAAUUAGCAGCCUUCAGAAACUUAAACACCUGAAUCUUGGUAUGAAUAGGUUGAAUACUUUGCCUAGAGGAUUUGGCUCUUUACCAGCUUUGGAGGUUCUUGACUUGACUUACAACAAUUUAAAUGAAACUUCCCUGCCUGGAAACUUCUUCUAUCUGACCACCCUGCGUGCACUCUAUCUAAGUGACAACGAUUUUGAAAUCCUGCCGCCAGAUAUCGGGAAGCUCACAAAGUUGCAGAUACUGAGCCUUAGAGACAAUGACCUGAUAUCACUGCCUAAAGAAAUCGGUGAACUCACUCAGCUUAAGGAACUUCAUAUCCAGGGAAACCGCCUAACCGUGCUGCCCCCAGAACUAGGUAAUUUGGAUUUGACUGGUCAAAAGCAAGUCUUCAAAGCAGAGAAUAAUCCCUGGGUCACCCCUAUUGCUGACCAGUUCCAGCUGGGAGUGUCCCAUGUUUUUGAAUAUAUUCGUUCAGAAACCUAUAAAUAAUUCUUGUCUCGUCCCAAUCAUGGGUGACCACUUGUAUUUCUAUCCUAUGCAUUCUCUUGCUUCCCUCCUUGCCUCUAAUUUCAUACUGAUACGGGCUUAUCUACACUUCCUCUGUACCAAGCCUGGGAGCUCCCAUUUGCACAUGCGCUAGAUCCUGGAACUGAGAUCUGUCUCAGCUAUUCAUAUGUUUAGGAGAGACUCUCACUUGAGCUGAAGCAUAUCCAUCAUUCUUAAGAGUAUCCAUCAUCACACUUCCUGAUUCAAUAAGAGAUGAUAUCUUAUUAUCCUUUCAGUGAGUCACCAUAUUUAUAUGUUUAGUUGACAUUGUCCAGAUGUAUCUUCUUUGAUUCAGACUGUUGGGUAUUGUGGGACUUACCAUUCCCAGUGCUCCACAUAACUAAGAUUGCAGUUGUGUGAUGCUGUGCCAUACAAAAAACUGUUUUUUUUAUCUGUGAAUGGCAUCACCAGAUAUCAGCUGAGUUUGGCAGAAAAGGUUUAUACUUUUCAGUUUUCUUAAAAAGAUCAAUUCAGUCUAGUGAUUCUUCAUUAGCUUAUAAAAUGAUAAAAAUUCUAAUCUGAAUUUGCUGCUGAUAGCUAGUUAGUAUAAGGUUUUUUUUCUUUUACAAAAGGUCAGUAUGUAACAUUGAAUGUAUAGGUUUACUGUUACUUUAUUAUAUUAUUGUGUAAUAUUUUAAAGUUGAAGCAGUGUUUAGGAAAUGCAUAUAAUUAUUUAGAUUCUGUGUAGACUGAAACAUUAGCAUAAAGCAAUUUCAAAAUGAAACUUUUGCUAGAAGGUAUUGAUUGUAGUAUGACUAUAUUAUAAUUUUCACUUAACAAAGCAUGCCUUACCAUCUUGCAUUAAAUCAAGUUUCUUUCCCCUAUUUUAAUGGACUGUGUGAAAGAUUGAUUAGGAAUUGCUUUCUUUUCUAUGUUAUACUGAUUGUGAUGUGCCUUCUAAUUUUGUUACAGUCAGAAUAAAAGAGAAUUAGGAACAUCUAACCAAAUGUUCAUUACUUAGGAGAUAUACAAUACACAUUCUGCAAAGACAGAAGUCGGGAACUACGCCUCUUCUUGAUGAUGUAUUUUAUAAAUUAUCUGCUUGUAGAAGAAGUGUACAUUUUUUAGUAAAAUGAGAAAAUGAUUUGAGGGAAAAGCUUACAUAAGUAUCAGUAUAUGGGCCAUUUCCUGCUUUAUUCUUUGUGCUUGAGAGAUCCUUUUUGUUUUCAAGUCCUCCCCCUGUCAUAUUCCUUAAGUAAGUAGAAGGCUGUCUUUUCAAAUGAAAUGCAUACAUUUUCUGAUGUGUGGAAGGCAUCGAAGCUCGGACUUCAAAAAACAGCUUCUAAGGAUGCUAAGCCAUGACAAAGUGGGGUUGGAGGGGGAGGGCUACCAAACCCCUUCUAGGCCAUUAAAGGGUUCAUGGAAACAUUUAUGUGCUCAUUUAACAGACUUUACUGCAUCUGGAGGGUGUGCAAGGUUCAACUUAAGUUUUAGACCCUGUUUGGGCAGUACAGGGCUGUUACCAUGAAGGAAAGGUUUCACAGCAAUGGAAAGAAAGGACUUGGGAUUGAGGCAGCCCUCGCCUGUUCCCAGAGAGAUGAUCCAUCAGAGGUCUAGUUAGGUCAAGUAGGAGACAGAGGUGGUGUUAGAUGCUGUGGGAAAUAGCUUUGGAAAAAGGCACAAGACUCCAUACAGACAAUCCUAUUACUCAGCAUUCAGUAGAAGAAUGGAGGACUAGGCACAAACCUGGAAUGGGCUAAAGGCAAACUUUUGGCAGGGUGAGGUUGCCUAAGUUGUGUCUUAUUGGCUUUUGAGUUCUGCUGAGGAAGACUAGGAACCACUAUUCUGAAAAAAAGCUGAAUUAAAGGGAGACCCUGAAGAUGCAGAGAAGAUAAUGUAGAGAACCAAUAUUGUGUUUGGAUGCUAUGUGUUUUAGACAGUCUUGGACAGGCCAAAUCUUUGUAGAGAUCUGAUCAGAGGGGUGAGUCCACCACUACAAGAGACUGACAGCAGUGGUGCUACAAAGAGGCACUGUGGAAUGAGGAGAGAUGGCAGUGCUGCAAACCAGUAUGCUAGGAUUGGGUCUCUUACAGGGUUAUAAAUAUUCUAUAGGGGCAAAUAGGGCUGGAUUAACCCUUUAGUGGGCCCAUGGCAAACAAACUCAUGGGCCCUGAGUUGUCAAGAUCCUCCUUCCCACCCUGGCACUGCUGCCCGCGGGAAGCAGGCCACUGUAGUGGCGAGGCCAGCAGAAGGGAAGGGAGGUGGACGGGGCCAUUUGCACCACUGCAGAGCGAAGGACUGUCUCCCCGACCCCCUUGCAGCUCAGGGCCCUAGGCAUGUGCUUAGUUUCCUUAUGCAUUAACCCAGCCCUGGGUGCAAACCGUAUAAAGAACAUGGAAUUCCUUGACUUAGUGCAUAUAAACAUAAUUAGAGUCACUUUUGGUCUUGAAUAUUAGGGAAUUCUUCCUGAUGGGAAGAUACUAGGCUGUGGAAUAAUAUUCUAAAGAAAGUGAUAUGUGCACUGUCAAGCACAGUGCUAGUAAUGUGAAACUGGAAAAAAAACCAUGCAGUUCAUGUCAUGUGGACUAGAUUGCCUAACUCAUCUCUUCUAUCUUUACCUGUUACAAUGCUUGAAGUAAUCCUUGUGGGUCAAACCAGUUAUAACAGGCUUCAACUUCUUUGGAUGAGAAAACCACAUCCAGAAAGAUGAUUGAGAUGGACCUGAGGACAGGCAGCUGAAAAUGAGCAUUUGAUUAAAAAUGACCUCAUUCUUAACUACUGAUUAGGGAUUUUGCAGAACCAGUCUGUAUGGCAGACACAUGCAGGCAAACCCCGAGCCUCCAAAGAAGAACAAUGACAAGUCAAAGAAGAUCAGUCGUAAGCCUCUGGCGGCCAAGAACAAAUAAGUCACUGGCUUGUGGCAGGGUUUUUAAGUCUUUUUUAAUUUCUUUUGCAUGUGCCUAAGAUAUUUCCUGAAGAAAUGCAGGUAUUCAUUUUAUUAAGAAAGCAAAGCCUAUCUUUUUCAAUCAACGGCAAUUCACCAUGUGCACUGGUCUUAAGACUGCUUAAAGAAUAUAAAAUUAUAUAUUCUAAUUGUAGCCAAAAUUACAGCCAUUUAAUAUAUCACUGUCAAGCACCUUUUAAAAUUUUUAUAUUUAUAUGUACAUUAAAACCAGUUUGACAUGUCUUCUGUUCACAUAUAUCACGUGUCCUUUUCUGCUUUAUUAGACAUGUUUCUGCACCAGUACAUAGUAUUAGUUACACUUCAUGUAUUAUCCAGAUGAUUUUAAUAAAAUAUUUCUUUGUAUCUUG